CCUAACUAAGGUCGACCCAUCUACUUUUCAUGUGGAAGAAGCACUGGAAGCCCUGAGAGAGUGAGGACAAAUGAGGGAAAUGGUCCCAACAAGUACUCAGUGAUGCUGUCAGGUUCAUAAUGUAUAGUCUCAUAAAGGAGCAGCACCUUUUCCUCCAACAAAGAGGAAGAGACAAAGGAAAAAAUAGAAGAAGAUAUGAAAGAGUCACAAUAAGACUUUGAGGACUGAAGGGGAAAGGAAGAUUCAGGUUGCCUGUCCCUGCUGAUUUCUCCUUAUGCAAAGAGUAAGAGCUGGAGGCCACGGGUCAAUGUUAAUACUCUGGUGACUUUCUAUGUUCUGGAAGGAAGUGCUGCAGCAUUUUUUGGUUUUGGCAGGAAUAUAUUUUGCAGCAAUAAAGAUCAUCUUGCUACACA
rnacentral:lncRNA from 1 species